rnacentral:rRNA from 1 species
AGCGAACGCUGGCGGCAGGCUUAACACAUGCAAGUCGAGCGGGCAUCCUUGUGGUGUCAGCGGCAGACGGGUGAGUAACGCGUGGGAACGUGCCCUUCGGUUCGGAAUAACUCAGGGAAACUUGAGCUAAUGCCGGAUACGUGCGAGAGCAGAAAGGUUUAUCUGCCGAAGGAUCGGCCCGCGUCUGAUUAGCUAGUUGGUGAGGUUAUGGCUCACCAAGGCGACGAUCAGUAGCUGGUCUGAGAGGAUGAUCAGCCACACUGGGACUGAGACACGGCCCAGACUCCUACGGGAGGCAGCAGUGGGGAAUAUUGGACAAUGGGGGCAACCCUGAUCCAGCCAUGCCGCGUGAGUGAUGACGGCCUUAGGGUUGUAAAGCUCUUUUCUCCGGGACGAUAAUGACGGUACCGGAGGAAUAAACCCCGGCUAACUUCGUG